GGAAUGUCAUUUGCAAAAUUGGGCCCGACUUGAGUUGACCUCACUUUCUGCUUCUCGAAAAGAAGAAAUUUUUUGAAGAAACUUUCAGAUUUAAAUUCACAUUCAUGGAAAACUCGUCCCUUCUGGUAAAUGAAUGUUUUAAGUUACUUUAACCUGCGUCGAUUGAUUGUUUAAUACACCAACUUUUAUUGAAACAACGAAGUGUGCACUCUUAAUUGCUGUGAGUGAAUUUUUUCACGCAAAAUGCUUAAAUUAUUUUGGACAGUUUAAAAAAUUGUGUUUCCCCUUUUGAAAAUUUCAGAAAUAAGCGGACCCGGAUUAUUGCUUUGGAAAGAAUGGACAUGUUUUCACCCGUGGAGGAAUUUAAAAAAAAACAAAAUAUCUAAGGAGUUUGCAAGACGCUAUAACUUUCCGAAGUUUAACCCGAUUACAAAAAUUAAACACAAUUUUCGUGCAGAACUACUUCCCUGAAAAUAUUUUUUUUUUAAUUUAUUGAAGGGUUCAAUAUUUUAUAUUUUCAUACAAUUUCUUAGGUUUUAAAUUUUUUGAAAAUUGGAGGUUUUUUGAAAGUGGAUUUUCAUAUUUAGAGGGAAGUUAUUGUGAGCAAAAAUCGUGCUUAAUUUUUUAAAUCGGGUUAAAAUUCGAAAAGUGACAGCGUUUAAAAAAUCCAGAUUUGGGCUGAGACUGGGUUUUUUUCCACCACGGGCGAAUAUAUUUGCAUUCAGGAAAACGAAAUAUUCCUGGUCCUCUUAUUUCUGAGCGUGAACAAUUUCUGUCAAAAUAGAAGAUAACCAAUGAAAUUUUGAACUUUUCGACAGGGAAACCCAAUUUCUAAGAUUCUGUAAGGUAUUCCUACUUUUCGCCAUAACCCCGCACAUCUCGGUAUCCCUGCUCGAGGAGGAGUCUUCACCUAUUGUGCAGUUCCAAGAUGUCAACACCACCUUGGGGCACUUAAGUCCAGGGCUGGUAUCCACGCUGGACGGGAGCAGAAAUCUGACCCUCCGCCAACAGGCCCGCCGGUCCAGGCAGAUCAACUACUGUGUCAAUCUCCUCAACUACGCGGGAACGUAUUACCCUCAGUCGGAAGUUUUUCCAGGGCCCCCGCAACAAAGGCCACCCUACCCGCCCAAUCAGUAUCAGUCCCCGUGGGGAGGAUAUCCCUACCCGCAAUACGGUCCCAGCAACUUGGAUAAACCUUGUGAUCAAAGAGCUUCUAUCGGAGCCUACACUUUUACGUCGAACUGCCACCCUCCCAGCGAGACCGGCCCCGCCACUUGCCCCAAGUACAGCAAGACUAAAGCCGUCUACACGGGCCCCAAUCAGUUUCUCAAGGGCUGUCCCGCAGGUUUGAUGGGUUACUGCUGUUGCUGGGAUGUGGGUGGAAACAUUUGUGAAGAAGUCAAAUAAUAAAUGAUACAUGUAUGUGCAUA